GACUCUCUCCACACUACAGAGGCAAAACCUAAGGCUUUGAGAGAUGGAGUCCCAGGCGCAUGGCCCUGAUCUCACUCUCGAAUGUGACAUCUGGAAAAAAAUCAGGAAGAAGCAAAUGCAGAACAAGGCCUGGAUUAGCUGAUCAACAGUGGGAUGGUGUGUUUCCUAAAGCCCAGGAUCUCCACCUCACCCAGGGAAAUGUUGCAGUCUUUUCUGAGUUUAUUUCUACUAUAAGAAUUGCACUAUCAUAUUUGCUAGAGGUCAAAGCAUUUCCUACUUUGGGAAGAUGGAAAAUUUGAUAAACCUAAUACACAAUGAAACUAAUUAUCAGACACAGAAGCCCAGAGGGGUGCAGAGAACAUUUUUCACGCUUUGGCCCUAGAGCCCCAUUUCCCCUUUCUAGAAGCAUCUCACUCUCAGUCCACGAGGUCUGAGUGGGACCUGUCCCCAGCCCUGGGGUGGAAUGCAUGGCUCAGGCCUACAUCAGUUAGUGCACUGCAGUCACCAGCCCCCGUGAUUGGCUCACAAGAGGGCAUGUGAUAGAAGAAGCCUCAUCAGAGCGAACCUUAGGGUUUUUGCAGAGAAGGCUGGGACAGAGAACUUUCCUACUUCCCCCACUGCACAUUAUCCUAAAGGACUUCACCCUGGAAACUUAUGGAGGUCUUCUUGAGAGAAAAGAGAAUGUUAGAAUGGAGGUAACAUAAAGGAAGAAGAGCUAAAAGAUGGAGAGAGCAAAACCAGAUCCCAAGAACACAGCCAAAGCCAGAUGUCCUCCUGGCAUCUCAGUUGUACAAGCUAAUCUGUUGUCUCCCACAUUCCCAACCAUGUGAACUUUUUUUUUUUUUUUGGCUGAGUCUGAUCUAUCACUUGCGACAACUGGCACUAGUGGGGCCCCAUGCACACGCACACAACCACACUCAAUAUUUCUUUCCACAUGCGGAAAGCAGGAUGGUGUCACAGCAGAAGCCCAGGCCUGGAAGGCAAGAGAUCUAGGUCUGUCUGUGGCUUUGUCUCUUUGACAUUCAACUUCUUCAGCUAUAAGGUGGCUGGGGAAGGGGGAGGUUGGACAAAUAAGCUCAAGAUGCCUUCCUGCUCUGACACUCUCUGAAUCUGUCAACCUGAACGUCUUGGUGCUCCUGGGGCCAUUGAGAUUGCUGGAUCCUGAUUCUUUGAAGCAUUUCAUUCAUUAUGGUAAAGAAGGGUUUAAGUGGCCACCAACAGAGAGACGUGAAGUACAUGAAACAAUUAGGUUCUCUGUAUCUCCAGCAGAAUUGGCCCCAGAAGAGGGUCAGGCUUUGCAAAGACACAGAACAUUUUUCCCGCUGGGCUCCUUGGGAAAAGGUCUCAGCAUUAUGGAGGGUGUCUCUGGCUAUUCACAGCUUGCCAGUGGGAACAGCCAAGAAGGAGAAGAGGUCACAUGGCCAGGCCUGCUGCCGGCACAGAGUGUUCUGUGCAGCUGAUGGCUGGGCAGGGAUGAGGUUUGCCCGAUCCCCUGCUGAGGCUUCCUAUGAAAGUCUCUAGACAACCUUGAGCGCAUAUAUGGAGCUCUUACAAACUCCACAGACCUGAAAGAAUACAGUUUAGGAAUCA
rnacentral:lncRNA from 1 species